AACAAAUAAUCACCAAGAACUGGUGCUAGAUGCAGGUUUUUGUGGACUGCCCAACCAAAGUCAAUCUAUGGUUCCUGAAUUGCCUUCAUCCAAAAGGAAAACAAACAAACCACUGGCUGAAAAAAACAACAAAAAACCAGUGCCUGCUAACUCGGUCACAGGGCAGAUUGUGUGGCACACAAUCUGUCCUCCAUCUUGCAAUUCCGCCUGGUUUUUCAGAAUCUGCCGCCUGAGGUGGCUGCCUCACUCUGGCUCAUGGUAGGGUUGCCCACUGCUGCCCAUCUUAACAUCUCAUUUUGCAAUCAAUGAGACUUAAAAGUUCUUAAUGUUUGUCCCUGGACUGUGCCCUUUGUGUGAAGAGAUUUCGUCUAAUAUACCAGUAGAGGGUGAUAGUGGCUUUUACAUCCCUUCUUAAACCUACUGGAUUUUUGAAAUAAAAAAAUGUAGGCAAAGAUUUUGAGAGGAACGUGAGAAGCUUAGCCCUCUUUUCCGUGUUAAUAAAUAAUUCUGUAGCAACCCAGCAUUAAGUAACAGUACAUUUUCAAAGUCAGAUUAAUAGUAUACAGCAUUUUUGUGUUGUCAGAUGGCUUGGAUGCAUAGAAUUGAAAGCUACCUUCUGGGUCAUCAAAAUUCCCAUGCUAAGGCAGUCAUUAUGGAUACCCUGACAAUAGAUCCUAUAUACUCGAGCUCUUGAAAUAAUUCUGUGCCAUACGUUGAACAGAUGUGCAUUCGUCAGUGGCACAAAUGAUAUUUUGAGCAUCUGCAGCGUAAUGCUGAUGUUUCAAGGCAAGGAAAGGUCUUUAGACUCUCUUCCCCCUUCCACCAAAACCAGUGUUUUCAUGGGGAACUGUCACAGCAAAAUACAAAUUAUUCCUCUUUACCAGAAACCAUGCAAAGCCGAGAGUGGUGCUUUAAAUCUAGUCUGUGAAGCGUUCAAAACACUUAAAAGUGUGAAGAGUUGUUUGCAGAGGCUUGGGAGAAGGAAGAAACAAUCCAGUCCUGAGGGCUAUAUAUAAUCGAGGACCUUUCCAUCCUGUGCCUAUUAGGGUUAUAACUUUUUGACUUCAAAAAACAAACAAACAAAAACGAUUUCCUGUAUCCUAAAGGGAUGAACUCUUGCUUAGAAAUACUGAAAAAGGGACUACCGUAAUUCUUCUCAGUUGUGAAAAAUGGUCAGCCCCAAAUGAAGCCGGAAUCGCCGUAUAUAUAACGUUUCUACUCAUAAGUAUUAGCACUUUAAAAAAAAAAACACCUUUAUGGAACUGUUUAGAACUUUUUACAGCUGUCAGGAACUUCCUAAAACUGUAUUGGAGAAUCACUGUAAACAGGAGCCACUCCAGAUACCAAGUACUACCGGUAAUCGGUGCGCAGAACGUGCAUUCAAAGUGAUAUGGGAACUUCAUGGUUCUUGCGGCAGAAACAGAGACAAACUGCAACCUUGAUUUAUUCUGAGCAAUAAGAAGGGAUGUGUGUCGUACAUUGUAUAAAACAUUGUACAAGUAUUGGAAAAUUUGCAAGCUCUGUUUUUCCUGCAUUAUAAUACAUGCUAUGCAUAUUACAUAUUAUACAGUUCCAUAUACAAAAAUUGAUUUAUUGAUUUCGGGGUGAUGUCCCCCCCCCCCAAAAAAAGAUUUUGAAAUCAUGGUUCAUUCCUUUGUUUUUAGCCAAAAGUUCAUCUAACUACAAGCUACAGGAACAUGAAGUUGUAAACAGGUAUAACCCUGGCGCCUAAUGUGCUGUAAACUGCUUUGAGAUUUUUUCUUAAAAAUAUAAAGCGGUAUAGAAAUGAAAUGAAAAAUAAUAAUAACAGCAAUAAUAACCUAUAUACCGACAGCAAGCUCAGUAUCAGAGUGCGAAUGGUUAUGUGGCUAAAAUGGCGCCACCGCCAUUUUGUUGUUGAGUUAGCGACCCAUCAGUGAACCUUAGCAAAGGAUCGAUGGAACACACGGCAGACAAGCUGAAGAAGGGAUCGCUAACUUUUUUGGCCCCAUUUGCAAACUGGAGAAACUUGUGGGUGCCACGCAGACACACUGCAACCAAGUGCACACCACAGUGCAUUGUGUUUGUUACAGCAGAAUGCUUCAUUUCAGUGUGGGAAGGGACCUUAUGGAUGCCAGGGAAGGCCUUUAUGGGAGUUCAUGGGCACCACACUGGGAACCCCUGAUCCAAGGUUAUGCUUCCCCUGAGGCACCUUCUUCUCUUCAAGCCCCAUCUCACUUCAGUUCUUCUCCUCUCUUCCUUCUUCCCUCUCCCACACUCUUAUUAGUCACCAAGCCCAUCUCCUCUCCCUCUCCUUCUCCCAGCCCCUCCUCCUCCUCCUCCUCCUCCUCCUCCUUCUUCUUCUUCUUCUUCUUCUUCUUCUAGAGCAAGUGUGGUGUAGUGGUUAAGAGCAGUAGUCUCGUAAUCUGGGGAACCGGGUUCGCGUCCCCGCUCCUCCACAUGCAGCUGCUGGGUGACCUUGGGCCAGUCACACUUCUCUGAAGUCUCUCAGCCCCACUCACCUCACAGAGUCUUUGUUGUGGGGGAAGAAGGGAAAGGAGAAUGUUAGCCGCUUUGAGACUCCUUCGGGUAGUGAUAAAGCGGGAUAUCAAAUCCAAACUACUCUUCUUCUUCUUCUUCUUCUUCUUCUUCUUCUUCGAAUUUAUAUACCGCCCUAUACCUGGAGGUCUCAGGGCGGUUCACAGAAAAGAUCAACAUAAAAACCGCAAUAUAUAUAAUC